rnacentral:rRNA from 1 species
ACGCUCGACACCUACGGGGGGCAGCAGUGGGGAAUAUUGCACAAUGGGGGAAACCCUGAUGCAGCGACGCCGCGUGAGCGAAGAAGUAUUUCGGUAUGUAAAGCUCUAUCAGCAGGGAAGAAACUGACGGUACCUGACUAAGAAGCACCGGCUAAAUACGUGCCAGCAGCCGCGGUAAUCUGAGGCGGGCUGGACAAGGC